UCGUAAACUGUUGAAACUUUAGUGCAACAAUUUUUCAUGACACCACAAACUGGUGUUAUUUCACAUUCGCAUGGGUAGGUUUCAGAGCACUUGAAUACGCUAUCAAGUACACAACUGAGAUCGACAUUAUGGUAUUAGACAUCACAGAGUGGGUUAGGAGUGCUAGUUUUCUUACAAGUGAAUUAUCAAUCGUCAAACUCAAUGCCAUCAGAUGCCUGGAACUCGUACCUAAAGCAAUUAGGCCCAAGAAGAUUGUAGGGAAUAUCCAUAGUUGACCAAGUUACCAUCACCUCCACAGUGGCCAAACCAAAAUAGAAAGGCAAGCUUUGAGUACCAUGUUUUUCAACCCGGAAAGCAUCGCAUCGAUACAUGUCCGGCCCACCCUUCUGACUGAGCUUCAAUGUUACAACCAACUUUGCAUCUUGCGCCAUAGCAACCACGGCCCUGGUUAGCUCAGAUGUCUCGGCGGCGAUAACCCCAUCAAACAGCUGGAUUUUGCCACGUGCAGCAUAAGAUGGGCUAGUGUAAGACCCUACCAAACACAGGCUUAAGCAACUGUCCUGCUUAAUUUCUGAUAUGCCAACCUGUAUGGUGGCCUCCGAGGCUUGUUCCAGAAGUGCAAACGUUAUGUCCAUUGAGCCACAAUCACCAUCCAAUCGUCAUGUGAUUACCCUAGCGUGGCUUGUGCCUCUGUCGCUGAAUUGGGCAACACCAUCAAUGAGCUCUAGAUCACCACCUUCUUCUCCUCCUGUCUUAAUCUUCAGGUCAAACUCAAUUACCACAGUAGCGUGCAUUCUGAUGCCUCUCUUAGGGCCAGACAUCUGUAUGAGGCCAUAAUGCCCCACAAUGAAAGGAUCAUCUCUUGUACGGUUGAAGGCAUAGUUGCGCAUAGGGUUCAACAGAUCUCUGACAGCCACGUAGCCAUAAAACUCAACUGGGUCACCAACAUACGAUGUGUUAGCUAGCUUCAGCGAGAAUAUCUGCAUCAUGGCGCAAUAUGAAUGCCUUCCACAGACCCUCCAGUUAGGCAUGCAACUGUCAUAAGGCACAGUCAUCAUUGGCUCCAGACAAGCUGAUCGACAACAAUAGAAAUCAUUCAGUACAUGAUUAAAACAAUUAACCUCCAGCUUUCAACUGAGACAAAAUAGAUUGAUACAAACAAAUAUUACGAAUCAUGAUUUUCGUACUCAUACAUAUGAGACCUAAUGAUGUCUAAAAUUAUAAUGUAGGACUGAAACAUAAAUAUGGCAAUUACGAAUAUUAACAUAAUAAUACAGCAGUCAUAAAUUUGGAUAAAAACCAUAAUGUUAAGCAUAGCCUACUUAAGCAUGGCAAAAUUCCUAUUGUUACGGCCAUCUAAUAAAUUGUUGGCUACAGAAAAUGAGUGGAAAAUACUGAACUUGUGUAGUGUGCUUCGUGGGAUGAGAAUGAGAGAGUAUGUACACUAAAUGUCUAGUUGCAAAAGUUGCUUCACAUAUAGCUAAUUAUGACUUUUUUUUAUGUACCAUUGGUGAAUUUUGCAAGUACAUGGCAUGUUCUAGAAUAUGCAGCAGCUGUAUGAAAACAGCGGAUCAUGAUUAAUUUAAACGGGCUUGGAACUGGGACAUCGUCUUGCGCAUAUAAUCUAAAGAAUGAACUGAAUUUAACUUGCAAAAAAUUACCAAGUAAAAUAAACAACAACACGAGGAUCCAUCGAUCUUGUGCAUCUAAAUAUUUUUAAUCAACAGAAACAAGUGAUUGUAAAUGAUCAAUAGACAUUUUUUAGAUCAUACAACACACAUAUUUUAACUUUAGAUAUACCAUUAACAGGGGAAAAUUGCAUCUGUACCGUUAAAAUAACACCAUUUUGGCAAAAUAUUACUGAAAGACCUGACUUCAGAUAUAUAGCAUUGAGAAGAACACUGUCAAAAUAGACGAUUCCGUUUGGGCCUUCCAUAUGUUUUUGUCCAUUGCCUCCAUGGACGUCCCUGCCAUGUUAACCCCUGACCUACACUACGCCAAGACCGAAAGGCAUGCACAANNNNNNNNNNNNNNNNNNNNNNNNNNNNNNNNNNNNNNNNNNNNNNNNNNNNNNNNNNNNNNNNNNNNNNNNNNNNNNNNNNNNNNNNNNNNNNNNNNNNNNNNNNNNNNNNNNNNNNNNNNNNNNNNNNNNNNNNNNNNNNNNNNNNNNNNNNNNNNNNNNNNNNNNNNNNNNNNNNNNNNNNNNNNNNNNNNNNNNNNNNNNNNNNNNNNNNNNNNNNNNNNNNNNNNNNNNNNNNNNNNNNNNNNNNNNNNNNNNNNNNNNNNNNNNNNNNNNNNNNNNNNNNNNNNNAACACGCAAAGGGAAAGGAGGGGAGAGAACCAAGUUGUUAAGUUCUGUCUCAUCAUCAAGUAGAAAUGUUCCUUGCCUAACCCAAGUGUGGUCUUAAUAAAGUUAUAAAAGAAAAUCCAGAGGCGCUAAAGUCUCCACGGAUGUUGCUGAACCCUCGCAAUGGGAAGAACAACAAGACUUCAUCUGCAAUAGCUCACUCAAGCCCAGGUGUGACACUAGAAGAAUGGCACGUAUUUCUAUAAUAAGUUCAGAUUCUAGAACUAGAAAGAAUGCUAUCCAUCUCAUCUGAAGGAAUAAACCGAAGGCUUAUUAUCAAGAAUUAUAGUUGGUACUUGGUACAUGGGCAAAUCUCUCUGGUGUAAAACUAUGUCAGAUCUCUAUUUGGCAACCAUGCUACUAUUAUGCGAACAACCCCUGUUGUGAUGUUGUUGCUGUGAACCAUGUCAGAAUUAAGCAACUGUGUUGCUAUUAUACUGAAUGACAGCAUUUAAAUGUUCCUUGUGUGUUGAAUCCAGUUGAAAAUGUCGUAGUUAAUGGCAGGAUAACAGAUAUGGAAGAUUGCAAAAUGAUGUGUUCUUUUGAUGGCAAAAAUCUGAAGUUGGCAUUUUGCCAAAGUUGUGCUCUUGUAAGUGUUCAGAUCGAGAAACCACAUAAAGAGGUGCCCUUUAGGGAUUUGGUAAUACUAAAAUCACCUAUAUGAGCUAACCUAAGAUUCGACAAUUGAAAUGGAAAAAAAUCAAAAAAAAAAAUUGAGAUGGAAAGAGUUGCGUACUCUCACUGGUAUCAUAGAGACGGUAAACUUUAGCCCAAUAACCGUCGCUUCUGUAGAUGGAUCCAUCGCCAUGCUUCAAUUUCCAAAGCAGUUCAGCACGCACGACGCCGUCGAGGGGACGCCCGUCGGCGCCCAAGGGUACUCUGCUCUGGGGAGCCGUCGACGAUGCAACCGCCUCUGCGCCGCCUCUCUCCAUCCUACUUCUCCUCUCUUCGUUUGGAUCCUCGCAACCUCACGGAGUCAUAGACGAUGAGACGGCUUGUGCGCCACCGCUCUCCAUCCUUCCCUUCUCUUCGAAGGGGUUGCCGCCGCCCAAGGUCAUUCCGCUCCUCGGAGCCAUCGACGACCCGGCCUCUUGGGCGCCGCCGCUCCCCAUCUCUUUUUUCCCCCUUCGACUGGAUUUUGGCAUUGGUCAGGGCAUCUCCAGCCGAGAAAAUCGACUAUUUGCCACUUUCAAUAUCGGGUUUCGCAAAACUGUCACUCUCAACAUUGGCUUUGUAAAAAUGCCACCCAGUUCGUGUGCAUUUUGAUUACCAUGCCAUUUUUCCUUUUUCAAUUACUUUUCUUUUUCUUUUCAAUUUUCUGGCACCUGAAAGGACCAAAGUACCCUUGUCUCUUUCUACCUUAUCCAAUCUGUUUGUGGUCUGGUCUGUACCGGAUUGCUCUGAGGCUAGCUUGUUCUUGUCGUCAUGGUCGCUCGUUGUCGUACCUCGUUGAUGCCCGCGCGAGCUACCCAACUCGCCGCCCUAGCUUGACCACGCCUGAGCGAGAACUGCAGGUCGCCGCAGGUGCUCGCCCAUGGCUGCGCGCGCCGCUGCAACUCGCCCUCGUCACUGCAGCUCUCCGCCGGCGCUCAUCCAUGUCUACACACGCCGGCACAGUUCGCCCUCGCGUCGCGAAUGCUUACGCGUGCCAGCGCAGUUCGCCGUGGGUGCUCGCCCCCUUGCGGAUGCUUGCGCGUACUCGCUGCGGGUGCUCACCUAUGCCUGCGCGCGACAGCACAGCUCGCCCUCCCCUGCGUGUGUUGGCGCAGCUCGCCCCGCGACAUGCCUGACAAGUGGGUGGUGCUGAACAUCAGCAUCAGUGGCAUGAUGGCAGCAGCCGCUGGAGGAGAUGGAUGCGUGUCAAGUUCUGACGGUGUUGAAUGCAAGCAACCUUUAAAUGACGUUUGCUGUAACCUUUAGUUGAUGUUGGAUUGCAACUUGGCAAUUACAUCAAGAAUAUCAUGUCAUGUUUAAUUUCAUGUCCAGAAUCAACUGAGCAACAAUACGACAAAUAAAUAAUGCCGCAAAUUUCAGUCCAUAAGCUACUUGCCACAAUGUUUUCUUUUGCACUUACUGUAGCUUAUUCAGAGACAAGAAAUGAAAUUGUGACUAGAAAAAGUAUGCAAACCUCAAAUUUUAGUACAUUAGCAAGGGAGAGACAUAUAGACACUUCAACCAUGAUUGGUAGAUGAAUAUGAAAUGUGUUCACUUCUCACAAAAUAAAGUGAUGAGUUCACAUAAUAAGUUCACAGCUCAAAAAAUAUAUGAGCUCACAGCUCAGAGAAAUGUGUUCACUUCAUGCAACUUUUUCUGUAAUUCUUUAGCACCCAUACUGGGUGAAUCUCUAAGGAUACUCACAGCCUUGCUAGCAACCCAGUUCUGAGAUGGUGUUAUGGUCUUCACCCUGCUGCUUGAAAUACAAUCAUGUUGAUCAACUAAGACCGUGACCUCCACAUAUACAGUUUUAGAAGGAAUGGAUGUUAGAUAGUAAAAUAGGACAGACAUACGCACAUACGUAAUUUAUAAUUAAUAAAUGGAGGUUAGACAGUUAUCCAUAUUUCACCUUUAUAGUACAUUUGUCAUCCUGUAGGCCGCCAACAAUUCUCCAAGGGCAAUCUUCACUUGACUUGCAGAACCCUCUAAAUCUCUUCUUAUCUGACUUCUUCGUGCCUAGAUCAAACUCUUCAUUGAUGGCAAAUUGUCUUACUGCUAACCUGAAUUCCUUCAUUGAUGGAUACAUAGUGCCAAGGUCCAUUUUUGGCUGGUCUUUAUCAUAUGUAAUCACUACUUCAUUUGGUAUGGCAUCACUAACAGGAAUGGCAGCACCUUCAUUAUCGGUCCCCUGCUCAACCAUUCUACGACGCUUUGGUUCAGUCUUACAUUUUUUCUCUUCCUUGUCAUCCUUCAAGCCCAAAAUCUCACAUAGUUGAUUCUCACUCACUAGUUCAAUUCUACCUUCAUCAUCAUGUGUUACUAUUUGUAAGUUAUCCCAGUCAACUUCUAUGAUAGGUGGUGUUGGUUGUACAGUUGAAGAAGCCUCAACCAAUAAAUAUGGAUUAUCAGUACUAGUACUGCUACCAAGCGCGACCUCCGAAUCAUGCCUAUUCCAGACAAUUAGGAAAACAUGAACACAAGACUGAGUUAGUGAUCAGACUUCUACAAUGCAUGUAUCUAGCUCAACUUAAAGACAAUGCAAAAAAUAUGUGUAAUCAUCCUCUAGUUCCUCAACAUAAUUUACUACUUCCCUUCGUAAUUAAGUUUACAUUCGCUUCUGUUGUAAAUUGACAGCCUAUCACUGCCACCAGGAUAACAAUGAAAAAACUACCUCUGUUUAAUUAAUGCUUACAUUAUGAGCGCUACUUCUGUUGUAAAUUCUUCUCAAUAAGAUGGUAUAUCAUCAUUCGGAUUUAUACAUCAAUGGUUAUCUACAGGGAGUAGAUGAGGGAUGAUGAAUGUGCUUCCCACAGAUUCCAUACGUCACAUGAGGAGCUUUGUUGAACUGGAAUCAAACAAACAAACCAAGGGAAAGAUAAAACAUAAUACCGUCCAGAAAGAUUGGGUUCCAUGUCGCCACUGCGGUACUGGGUGACGGGCAGCACGCGACGCCGCGGAGAUUGGCGGCACGCGGCGUUGAGGCAAUCAGCGGCGUCGCGACGUCCAGGAGAUGGGGGCGGCGUCCAGCGAUUGACCCAAGAAGUCCUGGCGGCCAGGGAUGCGGCAAGCACGGUAUUCACGGCGGGCAGCACGCACUCGUCCGCUUCAAGUGCUGAUCUGAUGCCAAAGUACGUGAAGAUAGCUAUAGGGGUACUUCGGUCCUUUCAGGUGCCAGAAAAUGGAAAAGAAAAAUAAAAGCAAUGAAAAAAGAAAAAAUGGCAUGGUAAUCAAAGGGCACACGAACUCGGUGGCAUUUUUGCGAAGGCAAUGUUCAGAGUGGCAGUUUUGCGAAGCCCGAUAUUGAAAAUGGCAAAUAGCCGAUUUUCUCUCUCCAGCAGCAGAUAAAAAAUCACACCGACCAAAAAAACUUCUUUUCUGUUUUGAAAGGAAAACGAAACAUUUUUAGGAAAAAAAACCCAACUGUUGUCACGACCAAAAAAUUUCACAAGCCCCCUAAAAAUAUCACAAGUGAUACAUAUUUGGGUCACCACUAGCAGCCGACCAAAAAACCACAAAAUGAUGGCAUCAAGACCAAUCACCGCUUGGUGAAUUUUCAUCGUCAAUGUGCCGCCGUGCAUUGCCAGCCGGCCAGAAGCACGCGUGCCUGGCAUGUCACAUGCCCGGUCCGACACGCGUGUUUGGGACCGUGUCUGGACCGCGAGGCGAGGCCCACGUGCCGACACUGCACGACCCUUUUUUAUUACUUUUUAACAACAAAAUUUGGGGUAAAUUAGGUUACACCGCUAUGUCUCCUACCUCUUGUGUAUGUUCUAUUUAGCCUAAUAGUCCCCUAAAAAAAUUAGCCUAGUAGCCUAGCACGAUUGUAGAAAAUUGCCCUAGUUUUCGGACUGUUUUUUUGACUUUGAUUGAUCUAGGCUAUGGUAGGGUGUUUUUUCAAGAAGAAACAGAACCAAAUAAUGAUGCAUAUGAAGGUGCCCAUUAGGCGGAGGCAAAGUCUGUCAAAUGUCACUGCAGCUAGUCUUUUGAAGUCUUCUAUUCACAAAGAAAUUAAUUUGGAUGAGUUGCCUUAUGACCCCGCUGAUCGGAAGAGAAUUUUUCAAAGUACACAAGAAAUCCCAAUAAGCAAUAUGGGAUAAGACGCAAAUUUUUAACAAGGGAAUCUUAUAGGCCACCACUUAAUUUUGAUUAUCCGCAGAGGGAGAUUGGAGAUACUCAACGGUGAUUUAAUCCAUUGGUUUGAUGAAUAUGGUCGUUGGCUUGAGUAUAGUGACAAAGUGCAUAAGGCCUUCCGUUGUGUUGCUACCUUUUCAAAGAUUACAACGAGGGACAAGCUGGUAGUGGUGCAUUUGCAGUUAACAGCUGGAACAAAAAUUAGUACUAUCAAGUUAUCACAACGAGUCAAUGAGCGAAUCCAAUGGCCAAAUUUUCUUGCUCCGCCCCUCGCUAGAUGGUUUUUUCUCUGUCUUUAAUCUUCAAUACAAUGUUCUCCUCGAUGUUAGGAGUUCUAUCCGAUGUAAUCUUCUUUUGCGGUGUGUUUGUUGGGAUCCGAUGAAUUGUGAGUUUAUGAUUUGAAUAUCCUUGAGAAGUAAUUGAGUCUUUUUUGAACUUUAUCAUGCAUGCUUUUUAUAGCUUUAUAUUUUUCUCCGAUCUAUCCGUUUGGUUUGGCCAACUAGAUUGAUUUAUCUUCAGUGGAAGGGUGAUUUGUGAUGAAUUCAAUCUUGCGGUGCUCCAUCCCAUUGACAGAAAGGGACAAGACAUGCAUUUGUAUUGUUGUCAUUAAGGGUAAAACGACGGGGUUUAUUCAUAUUAGUUUAGUUUACUUUGUCUAUAUCAUGUCAUCUUGCUUAAGGCGUUACUCAGUUUUUAUGAACUUAAUACCAUAGAUGCAUGCUGGAUAGCGGUCGAUUGGUGGAGUAAUAGUAGUAGAUGCACACAGGAGUCGGUCUACUUGUCUCGGAUGUUAUGCCUAUAUACAUUAUCAUUGCCUUGAAUAUCGUCAUAACUAUGCGAUUUUCUAUCAACUGCCCAACAGUAAUUUGUUCACCCACCGUAUGUUAUGUGUUCGGGAGAGAAGGCUCUAGUGAAAACUAUGGCCCCCGGGUCUACUUUAAUCAUAUAUAAAAAAUCCAACAUACCUUUGCUGCAAUUUUAUUUCUUUUGUUUUUUUCUAUCUACCACUACGAGAUUUGAUCCUUAUAAUUAACGAGUUCAAGGGGAUUGACAACCCUCUUGCCCGUGUUGGGUGUAAGUAUUUGCUUUUGUGUGUGCCGGUGUUGUUCACGAAGCUUUGCGUGAUUCUCCUAUUGGUUCGGUAAAGCUUGGUUCUCACCGAGGGAAAUACUUAUCUCUAUAGUACUGCAUCUCAUCUCCUCUUCGGGGAAAGUCCCAACGCAGCUCAGAAGUAGCAAUCACGUUUUCUGGGUCUUAGGAUAUCGUUUAGUGUAACAAUACUCCUAAAACAACAUUGGGAUUAUGACAUUGGGAGAACGAUUAUAUUGAAUCGACCUAAACUUAUUUGCCAAGAAGAGAAUGCACAUGGCUUAGAGGAGGCGGCGUCGGUGGCUCGGCCGAUGUCUCCCCUUGGUUCCCUGAAUGGCGUGAAGAUGUUGGCGAUGAGGUAAAUUUUGACAUUCCCCUCAGUAUUUCAAUUUGAGUCAUUUUAGUAUAUUUCUCCUCCCAUACAACAAUUUGAUACAUGUCUGCAGAAGGUACUAAAUCACCUAAUUACCUCUGCAAAGAAAGAACUUGGCCUCGCGUUUGUGGAUGCUCCCGUUCUUCAUUUGAAGCAAACUGUCGAGAAGAAAAUGCAAAGUCUUGAGCUGAAAGCCUUCUCCAACUCUGCAUAAUCAAGUGAUGGUGGUUUCAUCGGUGAUGGGAUUACCAGGCAAUACUUUGAAAGCCUUACUCCAACUCUGCAUAAUCAAGUGAAUCUGGUGUCCCCGGCAAUUUCUUUGGCUUUCUUACAUGAUCCUUAUGUGAUGGAUGCAGCACUCCUUGCGUCCUCACAAAUUAAUAUUCUACCGGUCAACAACAGCACAAGUGAUGAAGCAGACAUGGGAUCCCACUGGCUAGUCAUGGUUUUGUACAGACCAAUCAACAGUGCGCCUCGACUGGUGCACCACGACAGCAGCGAAGGUCGCAUUAAUAACGCAGUCGUGGAACGUCUCGCCUCCUCAAUUCGCUGUGUGUUGCCUCCCUUCCAAGCAUCGGUCAUCGAGCAUGCAAGCACUCCACUACAGGAUAACGGCGCCGAUUGCGCAGUUUUCGUGAUGGCAAUUGCCAAUUACGUUGGCAGCUAAGCAGUGACCAUCAAGGACAGCAGCCGCAACAAGAUUGGGUGAAUACACUCGUGGGCGAUCUAGACCAUAAUGUCGUCACCCAGAUGAGAAAUGAUGUUAUAGGGUUUCGACAAAUAAAAAAUAUAGUUAAAGGUUAUAAAAUACAAUAAUUCAGGAACAAUCUACUGCACUAUGCCGAAUUUAUUCAGGAACUCACUACAUUCGUCCUAAUCGAUUCAUUAUGCCAAAAAAGGAAUGCAUGAAGGCCUUUGUGUGAGUCAAGUACCAAAAUUUUGGCUCCGGUACGGGUCAAAUAUAUAUAAUUAUUCAUACUAAAUUUUAAUAUUUGUUUAUACAAUAUUAUUUUAAUCACAACCAUACCUAGUUUAAUAUGGCAACAUUGGGCUAUUGUUUGCAUCGAGAUUUACAAUAAAAGUAAAUCAAAACACUCCUUCAAUAACAUGUUUAAACUAAAUCCUCUUAAUUGUGAAAAUCUGACAAAAUCGCAUGUUUUCUUUGAUUAUUUUGUGACACUUGCAUGAAUAUAGUUUAUAUGUUUGUGAUGUAUCCUUAAAAAAUUUAGUAGAGAUCUGUAACAUGUAUGAUAUAAGAAAUAUCUCGACAGAAGUCUCUAUAAUGAGAUAUGAGAAAAUAGAAAAAUCUAGAUUAUAUAAGAUGUUUACAAGAAGCUUGUUACUGAACCAUCACAUUUUUUUUCUAUUCCAAGGUGUCUUACAUAUUAUGUUGGGUUCGAUAAUUUGUCCCAAUUCCCCAAACGAUCCCAACUCGCACACAAAAACAACCCCUAGUUGCAUCUAUCUUGCACACCCUUUGUCGUAGGCCCUCGCCCUCGUCGACCUUACAUCCGACGCCAAUCCACUUUGCAUGUAUAAUUGUAUCGCCCAUUUCCUAUUUUCUGCAGGUAUGCAUUAAUAUCUGAUCCAGAUUCUUGCUACAUCCCUUUACUACAACAAUGUCGAGCUAUAUUACAAAGUGUGCAACUUAUAGAGUAGGGUGCAGAUGAGCUCGGAUGCAGAAAUGGAUUUUUUUUCGUCAGCAUGGGUGCAGAUGAGCUCGGGUGCAGAAAUGGAUUUUCGCAACUGAGUAGGGCGUUUUGGUGCCUAGGCUCAUCUGCACCCGGUUAGAAACAAUUUCGUAAAAAAUUCAAAACAAAUUCAAAAAAUUCCAAAUCUUAUUUGUGCGGUAGACAAUUUGAUGUGUGAGGCCCGCUCCGAAUUUCAAGUCAUUUGGACAUUUGAGCACCUCUUAGCAAAAAAGACAAAUCAGACCAAAACAGUACAUAACAAUAAACAUUUUUACAGACUCCCAAUUUGUCUUUUUUGCCGAGAGCUCCUCUGAUGUCCAAAUGAUUUGAAAAUUGGAGCGGACCUCACGCAUCAAAUUGUCUACAACACAAAAAAAUUAGAAUUUUUUGAAUUUUUCUAGUAUUUGUUUUGAUUUUUUCGUCAGCGUGGGUGCAGAUGAGCUCGGGUGCAGAAAUGGAUUUUCGCAACUUAUAUGGGUACUAUCUUUCAUUUGUAUGGUCCCGGCUGGAUGCUUGUUGCCUAACUUCAUUGUGGCCUCCAUGUUAGCUUUUGCGUCACAUAUAGGUUCCCUCGUGUUAGCUUCAUUUCCUUUUGGAUUACCUCCUACCCUUAACUAAUGGAUCGACUCACUGAAUUAGGUUCUACAAUGUAUGUACUACUACUACUACUACUACUUAUAAUGCAUUUGGGUUCCUAUAAUAUACUCUCUGUGUAGCUAGAUGACCUGAUCUAUGUUCCCCGGCUCUUGUGACAUUCAUGAUUCCACGUAUCUCAUCUACCAUUAAUUGUUGACAUUGAUCUCGCUUUCUAACACACGAUGUGGAGGCAUCACCCUCUUCCAAGUCUAAGGAUCCCAUCGUCAUCAAUAUCUCCGACAAUGAGGAGUAGCUUGUUUUUUUAGCUUACUAUAAGGACCUAUGUUCGGCUAGCUACGCAACUUAAACAUGUUCGGUUUACCUGUUGCAUGUGAUGCUCCUGCUUUUCCUUUAGAAAUUCCAGUGAAUUUUCCUAUGUAAUAUUACUAUGCAAUCUGAUCCUCUAAUAUAUAUGUUUUAUAUUAUGCAAUGUGGUGCUCAGUUAACUGUUGGUUCAUUUGUUGUGAUGUCUAAUUCUGCAAUGUGAUGUUCAAUUCUUGUGGGUGCAAUUUUGUAUUGUUAUGCAUGUGAGAAAAAAAUCGAAUUUGGUUGUAUUAAGUACAUGAGAAAUAUAUACGAUUGUUAUAUUUCUAAGUUGUUAAGCAUGCUUGGUUUGGUUAACUGUCUGAUCUUCUAGUAUGUUCUAUUGUACAAUGUGGUGCUCAGUAAACUAUUUGGUUCAUUUGUUGUGGUAUUCAGUUAAAUGUUCUGAAUCUUCAGUUGUGAAGUUCCAUGUUUUUCAACACGGAAAACAUCACAUUGAUACAUGUCCUGCCCACCCUUCUGACUGAGCUCCAAUGUGACAACCAACUUAGCAUCUUGCGCCACAGCAACCACGACCCUGCUUAGCUCAGAUGUCUCGGCAGCGAUAACUCCAUCAAACAGCUGGAUUUUGCCACGUGCUACAUAAGAUGGGCUAGUGUAAGACCCUACCAAACACAGGUUUAAGCAACUGUCCUACUUGAUUUCUGAUAUCCCAACAUGUACAUUGGCCUCCGAGGCUUGUUCUAGAAGUGCAAACGUUAUGUCCACUGAGCCACAAUCACCAUCCAAUCGGCGUGUGAUUACGCUAGCAUGGCUAUUGCAUCUGUCGCUGAAUUGGGCAACACCAUCAAUGAGCUCUAGAUCACCACCUUCUUCUCCUCCCGUCUUAAUCUUCAGGUAAAACUCGAUUACCACAGUAGCUUGCAUUCUGAUGCCUCUCUUAGGGCCAGACAUUUGUAUGAGGCCAUCAUGCCCCACAAUGAAAGGAUCAUCUCUUGUACGGUUGAAGACAUAGUUGCGCAUAGGGUUCAACAGAUCUCUGACAGCCACGUAGCCAUACAACUCAAUUGGUUCACCAACAUAUGACGUGUUAGCUAGCUUC
rnacentral:lncRNA from 1 species